ACGACGACGUUGACGACGACGACGACGACGUUGACGACGACGACGACGACGACGACGACGACGGUCACGACGAAGAAGACAACGACAAAGACGAACCAUGAGGAUGAAAGAAGCAGCAGAGAGUGCCUUCAGUGAUCACAGGUACUACACGCGCAUCGCGUCAGCAUUGUCAUCAGUAACUAACCACCACUACCAGUAUUACCAACAUCAGCAUCAGCAUCUGCAGUAGCAGCGACAAUAGCAGUAACAGCAGUAUCAGCAGUCAACGACUACAACAACAAUAUCAAAAGAGCUGCUUAAAAGUUCGCGUCCCUUUUAAAAUCUACGAUAAUAUAUCGUUUAUACGUUAUCAGAGAUCAGCUGAUUUAUUCGUUAAAUCGCAUGUCAAUUAUUCCAAUCGUCGUUGCUUAAUCGCGAAACAAUUAUUGUCAUUAUUUUCAAAUCACAAUGUGUAGGAUCCAAAAGUUCUUAAAGCGAAUUUUAAAAAUUCCAUUCCGUGAAAAAAGUAAUCACUUUUCGUGAUAUUGACUUUCAAAAUUGUUGUCGAACUACGCACUUACAUAAUUAAUCUUUUUCUUUCUUUCUUCCUUUUUUUUUUUUUUUUUAAAUCUUUUAUUUUUGUCUUUGAUUUUAUCUAUCUUGCAGUACUUGAAUUUUAUAUAAACGCGUUGGAAUAGCUUGUAAAAACAUGAGAUUGAACAAGAGGAAAAAUAGAUAUGCCGAGCACGGUGUAAAAUAUUUUAUUAAAAAGUAUUAUUUUUGCGAU